UACGGUGCGCAUUGCUGUUUGCCAGGGUCACCGUGAAUCGUGGCCCGAUGCUGUAGAUCCCUGAUCCGCUACAUCGUUGCACCUCGCUUACUCCUUGCAACCAGCAUCUCGCCGCAUUCGUGCGGUAUUUCAAAAACAAUGUUCCAAGGAGCAAGAAAAUGUCUGACCGCGAAACCGGUACCGUCAAGUGGUUCAACGAUGCAAAGGGCUUCGGCUUCAUCUCCCGUGAGAAUGGCGAGGACGUGUUCGUUCACUUCCGCGCUAUCCAGGGUCAGGGCUUCAAGUCCCUGCAGGAAGGCCAGAAGGUCAGCUUCACCGUCACCCAGGGCCAGAAGGGCCUGCAGGCUGACGCGGUAGAAGCCGUCUAAGCACCAAUCAACUGCGGUCGCUUCGGCGAUCGCACGAGAUACAGAGGAACCCGGCUUCGGCCGGGUUUCUUUUU
rnacentral:sRNA from 1 species